GUUUCUGUGGUGUAGUGGUUAUCACGUUCAGCCUAACACGAAAGGUCCCCUGUUCGAAACAGGGCAGAAACA
rnacentral:tRNA from 1 species